UGUUCAUUAAAUGUGGACUAGUAUGAACGGCAUCACGAGGGUUAUACUGUCUCCCUUUUCCCAUCAAUGAAACUGAUCUACCCGUGAAGAAGCGGGUAUAAAAAUAUAAGACGAGAAGACCCCAUGGAGCUUUAAACUCAGAAACACUAUUAUAAACAAACCUUAAAAAUAAACACCCUGAUUUCUAGUUUUUGGUUGGGGCGACCGCGGAGAAUAAAAAAACCUCCACGAUGAACGGAUUAACCUCCUUAUCUAAGAGCAACAACUCUAAGAAUCAACACAUUGACAAAAAUGAUCCAAAAAUUUUGAUCAACGAACCAAGUUACCCUGGGGAUAACAGCGCAAUCCAUUUCAAGAGCUCCUAUCGACAAAUGGGUUUACGACCUCGAUGUUGGAUCAGGGUUCCCCAAGUGGUGCAGCCGCUACUUAAGGUUCGUUUGUUCAACGAUUAAAAC
rnacentral:rRNA from 1 species